AUUGAACGCUGGCGGCAGGCUUAACACAUGCAAGUCGAGCGGGUGAGGUUGCUUCGGUAACUGAGCUAGCGGCGGACGGGUGAGUAAAGCUUAGGAAUCUGCCUAUUAGUGGGGGACAACAUUCCGAAAGGGAUGCUGAUACCGCAUACGUCCUACGGGAGAAAGCAGGGGCUCUUUAUGACCUUGCGCUAAUAGAUGAGCCUAAGUCGGAUUAGCUAGUUGGUGGGGUAAAGGCCUACCAAGGCGACGAUCUGUAGCGGGUCUGAGAGGAUGAUCCGCCGCACUGGGACUGAGACACGGCCCAGACUCCUACGGGAGGCAGCAGUGGGGAAUAUUGGACAAUGGGGGGAACCCUGAUCCAGCCAUGCCGCGUGUGUGAAGAAGGCCUUUUGGUUGUAAAGCACUUUAAGCGGGGAGGAGGCUUACCUGGUUAAUACCUGGGCUAAGUGGACGUUACCCACAGAAUAAGCACCGGCUAACUCUGUGCCAGCCGCCGCAGUAACAC
rnacentral:rRNA from 1 species